rnacentral:misc_RNA from 1 species
UUGGGUUAGAUAAGACAUA